UUGAGGUCAUUCGACUUUGCGUGGUUACGUCACAUCCGUAAACAGAAAGAAGAGACGGCUACUAUAUUGCAUGUGUUUGUGCUGUGUUUGUAGUUUCUUAGAAUUUAAACUUGUCAUCCAGAUGGCUGCUUUUAAUCUGGAUAGUUCUAAACAGCAAUCAUCGGCGACAUCUGGGGAAUCAGCAAAACCAAGAAACCUUGAACUGUAGAGAACCUUCAGCCAAAAAGGGAAAGCGACAGAGUCUGUGCUAAAAACUGGCAUGGAUUUUUAGAGGUGUCGAAAACUCAGAGAUCUGAAGGGAUCGACGAUUGACGCAGAGAUGAACAGUCCCACACGAAUUUAUGGAGAUACUAGAGAUCCAGAUCCUUUCUUCCUCUGGAUGGAGCUCAAAUCUUCUCUAAUUCCAGACUACUGGGACUACGGCUGCUCCUAACGCAAUACAGACUUCAUAUAAAUCCAUAAUGAACUUUUUCACACUAACUGUUGUUACCCAGAUGAGGAUGGGUUCCCUUCUGAGUCGGGUUCCUCUCAAGGUUUCUUCCUCUUAAAACAUCUUAGGGAGUUUUUCCUUGCCACCGUUGCCACUCAGUGGCUUGCUCAGUUGGGAUAAAUUCACACCUUUAAUAUCUGUAUACCAUGUUGAUAUUACUGUAAAGCUGCUUUGAGACAAUGUCUAUUGUAAAAAGCGCUAUACAAAUAAAAUAAAU